GUGCCUAACACAUGCAAGUCGAACGAGAAAGUGGAGCAAUCCAUGAGUAAAGUGGCGACCGGGUGAGUAACACGUGACUAACCUACCCUAGAGUGGGGGAUAACCUCGGGAAACCGGGGCUAAUACCGCAUAACAUCGCGAGGGGAAGAUCCUUGCGAUCAAAGGAGCAAUCCGCUGAAGGAGGGGGUCGCGGCUGAUUAGCUAGUUGGUGAGGUAACGGCUCACCAAGGCGAAGAUCAGUAGCCGGCCUGAGAGGGCGCACGGCCACACUGGAACUGAAACACGGUCCAG
rnacentral:rRNA from 1 species